UACGAAGGGGACUAGCGUUGUUCGGAAUCACUGGGCGUAAAGCGCACGUAGGCGGAUUCGUAAGUCAGGGGUGAAAUCCCGGGGCUCAACCUCGGAACUGCCUUUGAUACUGCGGGUCUUGAGUCCGAUAGAGGUGGGUGGAAUUCCUAGUGUAGAGGUGAAAUUCGUAGAUAUUAGGAAGAACACCGGUGGCGAAGGCGACUACCUGGCCUGUUCUUGACGCUGAGGCGCGAAAGCUAGGGGAGCAAACGGG
rnacentral:rRNA from 1 species